rnacentral:misc_RNA from 1 species
UUCUUUUACCCCUCCCAUUUUUAUAUCUUGAUCAGUCAUAAAAAUAUAUCUGUGUCUGCCCUGAUUCCACUGUUGUAACCCUGCUUUAUCAGACCAGUGAAGUUCCCACCUACGCAUCACGUUUUAUUCUCUUGGUUGGUCUCUACACCAAAUAUUUGCUACUGGAGUGGGGUAACAACACAGGAAGUGGUAUCUUGAAACUUAAUAUUGGAUCAAUAAGAUAACAGUGCAGCAUGAUACAGACAAACAGCCUUCACUGGUCUAAGCCUGAGAAAGUAUGCCUGUGCUAUAAACAGAAACAGCCUGUGGUUGAGGCAGAAGACAGUGGAAGAAGUUAGGUAACCCUGCUUACAUGUAUCCAUCACAGUUGCCAACACAGAGACAGUAAAAUAAAAUAAAUAGCCACUGAUGAGAAAAAAAUGAAGGGCUACUUAAGAGGACAGGAAGUAACCCAUGAAGAUAAAUAACACCUGAGGAGACUACACUAUUCUCCUAGUCUGAGACCAGCAGCUCAGCCGGGGCUGACAUGACUAAGCAGACCAGGACAUAAGGUAGCUGUACUCAUGUGACAGCCAAUCUAAAAAACAUCACAUGGGAAAAUUAUAAAAUAAUCAAAAACCAGGGACAGUUUAAGAGCUUCUGUUAAGAACUCUCUGUUUCACAUUUUUUCAAAGGGCUAAACAUGUGAAAUAAAUAUAUAAGGAUAACUCCUGUUUUGUUGAUUUUUGUCCUGAAAAAUUUCCUUAUACAUAUCAUUUCAAUUUUAAAAGUCUCGGUUUACAUGCAAAAGCAAAAUGCAUUCAGAUAUUAAAAUCCAGUUCUAUUGCAUAAGUAAGAAACAUUUCAGCCACUGGGCAAGAAGACCUAUAUAAGCAUAUAUAUUUGAUAUAUGACAAAGCUUGACACAAGUGUCAUAUGAAGUCUUAGUGGUUUGUUCUUUAUCUCUGCCCCACAUAUGGUGACCAUUUGACUGGACUUCAGGACAUGCUAUCAAAUAUGAGAUGAGGGACUGACCACUGGUGAUUAUUUCCCCCUUCUCUUCCACUUCCGCAGGUAUCAUUACCCGCCCGGAAUGUGAAAGACUUCUUUUAUUAUCUCCUGUUGCUUUUUAACCUAUUUCUUGGGUGAUGAGUGAAGAAGUGCAAAAUGGGAUCCUUUUUAUCCCUGCCUGGCUCAAAGCUGCACCUCAUGCCCCCAGAACGCUGGCUGGCAGUGCAUGUGUGGCUACUCAUUCUCCUGUGGCCUGUCUACAAUAGAUCAAAUCAAAACUGGAAUGCAUAUCAAGUCAAUGUGUUUUUA